rnacentral:rRNA from 1 species
CUCCGGUGAUCCUGCCGGAGACCACCGCUAUUGGAAUUCGCUUAAGCCAUGCGAGUCGAGAGGGGUAAGCCCUCGGCGCACUGCUCAGUAACACGCGGACAAUCUGCCCUCGAGACGGGGAUAAUCCCGGGAAACUGGGGAUAAUACCCGAUAGGUCUGGGAUGAUGGAAGGCUCUCAGGUCGAAAUCCUGCGGGGCUCGAGGAUGGGUCUGCGGCCUAUCAGGUUGUAGGGAGGGUAACGGCCUCCCUAGCCUACGACGGGUACGGGCGUUGAGAGACGUCGCCCGGAGAUGAACUCUGAGACACGAGUUCAGGCCCUACGGGGCGCAGCAGGCGCGAAAACUGCACAAUGCUGGAAACAGCGAUGCGGGAAUUCCAAGUGCCAGCACAAAGUGUUGGCUGUUCCAUUGUCUAAAAAACAUAGGAAGUAAGGGCUGGGUAAGACGGGUGCCAGCCGCCGCGGUAAUACCUGCAGCCCGAGUGGUGGCCGUUAUUAUUGGGCCUAAAACGUCCGUAGCCUGUUUGGUAGAUGCCUGUGUAAAUCGAACGGCUUAACCGUUCGAACUGCGGGUAGACCGCCAGACUUGGGACCGGGAGAGUCACGAAGUACUCCGGGGGUAGAGGUGAAAUUCUGUAAUCCUCGGGGGACUACCGGUGGCGAAGGCGUCGUGAUAGAACGGCUCCGACGGUGAGGGACGAAGCCCUGGGGCGCAAACCGGAUUAGAUACCCGGGUAGUCCAGGGUGUAAACGCUGCGGUCUUGGUGUCGGGAGUCCUACGAGGGCACUCGGUGCCGGAGAGAAGUUGUUAAGACCGCUGCCUGGGGAGUACGGCCGCAAGGUUGAAACUUAAAGGAUUUGCCGGGGAGCA